CUACCUUCACUUUAUUAUAUUAAUAUUCAAUUUCUAUCUCUAACACUACUUAUCACUCACACAUGCACCCAGACAGACAAACACAAACAAAAAAAUAUUCCUCUCCUUUCUCCUUUUCUUUUGUUGUUCCCCUACCACAUUUUACUUUCCCUUUCCUAGUCCUUUUCUACCUGUUCCGUUUCCUAUCCCUUGUUCCAUGCGGUGUGGAAUAAAGACUGCAUAUAUUCUUUAUCUCUUUGUCUUUUCCAUUUUCUGUACCGUCUUACUUCCUCCUUUCUCUAUCCCUAUAUCCCCCUUUC